CCUACGGGGGGCAGCAGUGGGGGAUAUUGCACAAUGGGGGAAACCCUGAUGCAGCGACGCCGCGUGAGUGAAGAAGGAUUUCGGUAUGUAAAGCUCUAUCAGCAGGGAAGAAAAUGACAGUACCUGACCAAGAAGCCCCGGCUAACUACGUGCCAGCAGCCGCGGUAAUACGUAGGGGGCAAGCGUUAUCCGGAUUUACUGGGUGUAAAGGGGGCGUAGACGGUUAUGUAAGUCUGGAGUGAAAGCCCGGGGCCCAACCCCGGGACUGCUUUGGAAACUGUGUAACUUGAGUACAGGAGGGGCAGGCGGAAUGCCUGGUGUAGCGGUGAAAUGCGUAGAUAUCAGGAGGAACACCGGCGGCGAAGGCGGCCUGCUGGACUGAAACUGACGUUGAGGCUCGAAAGCGUGGGGAGCAAACAGGAUUAGAUACCCGGGUAGUC
rnacentral:rRNA from 1 species